AACGAACGCUGGCGGCAUGCCUAACACAUGCAAGUCGAACGAGACCGCCGGGUCUAGGGGCGCACGGGGGCGUACCGCGGGGGAACCUGCCCUUGGGUUCGGUAUACCUCCCCGAAAGGGAUGCUAAGACCGGAGAAUGUCUUCGGACCAAGGAUUUAUGGCCGUUGGGUGGGCGCGGGUUGGAUUCGCUAGUUGGUAGGGUAAAAGCAUACCAAGGCGACGUUGCAUAGCUGGUCGGUGAGGAUGACCAGCCACACUGGGACUGAGACACGGCCUAGACCGCUACGCGAGGGAGCAGUGGGGAAUAUUGGACGCUGGGCGAUGGCCUGAUCCAGCAACGUCGGGUGAGUGAUGAAGGCCUUAGGGUUGUAAAGCCCUUUUACACGGGAUGAUAAUGACAGUACCGGGAGAAUAAGCACCGGCUAACUACGUG
rnacentral:rRNA from 1 species